UUUCCGGUUGAUCCCGCCGGAGGCUACCGCUAUUGGAGUUCGAUUAAGCCAUGCGAGUCGCGAGUCUUAGGGACUCGGCGUACCGCUCAGUAACACGUGGGUAACCUGCCCUAUGCUGGGGGAUAACCUCGGGAAACUGAGAAUAAUACCCCAUAGUUCACCACGCCUGGAACGGUGGGUGGACCAAAGCUCCGGCGGCAUAGGAUGGGCCUGCGGCGUAUCAGGUUGUAGGGGGUGUAAUGUACCCUCUAGCCCUCUACGCGUACGGGUGUUGAGAGACAUCGCCCGGAGAUGGAUUCUGAGACACGAAUCCAGACCCUACGGGGUGCAGCAGGCGCGAAAACUUGGCAAUGCGAGAAAUCGUGACCAGGGAACUCCAAGUGCAUCGGGUAAGACCGAUGCUUUUCUUGACUCUUCAAAGGUCUUGGAAUAAGGGGUGGGUAAGGACGGUGCCAGCCGCCGCGGUAAUACCGGCGCCCCAAGUGGUAGUCGCUUUUAUUGGGCCUAAAACGUCCGUAGCCGGUCUGGUACAUUCGUGGGUAAAUCAACCAGCUCAACUGGUUGAAUUCUGCGAGCACGGCCAGACUUGGGACCGGGAGAGGUGUGGGGUACUCUCAGGGUAGGGGUAAAAUCCUGUCAUCCUGAGAGGACCACCUGUUGCGAAGGCGCCACACUAGAACGGAUCCGACGGUCAGGGACGAAGCCUAGGGGCACGAACCGGAUUAGAUACCCGGGUAGUCCUAGGUGUAAACGCUGUGGACUUGAUGUUGGGGGCGCUCCGAGCGCACUCAGUGUCGAAGCGAAGGUGAUAAGUCCACUGCCUGGGGAGUACGGUCGCAAGGCUGAAACUUAAAGGAAUUGGCGGGGGAGCACC
rnacentral:rRNA from 1 species